GCCGAAAUGGUGUAGUGGAUUGAGCGCUGGACUAUAAUUUAGAUGACCAGGGUUCAAAUCCCUGCUUAGCCA